GGGCUUAUGAUGAUAAGUUAAACUAUCUUAGCGGAUUUCAGUGAGGCUAUUUUGUCAGUGAUCUGAUUGUUACACACACUGAAGCCU